rnacentral:rRNA from 1 species
AGCAGCCGCGGUAAUUCCAGCUCCAAUAGCGUAUAUUAAAGUUGUUGCAGUUAAAAAGCUCGUAGUUGAAUUUCGGGGUUAGUACGCUGGUCAUGCCUUCGGUAUGUACUGGUGUUACCGAUUCCUACCUUCUGAAGAACCGUCAUGUCAUUAGUUUGGUGUGGCGGGGAAUCAGGACUGUUACUUUGAAAAAAUUAGAGUGUUUAAAGCAGGCUCGCGCUUGAAUACAUUAGCAUGGAAUAAUGAAAUAGGACGUUCGAUCCUAUUUUGUUGGUUUCUAGGAUUGACGUAAUGAUUAAUAGGGAUAGUUGGGGGCAUUAGUAUUCGAUUGUCAGAGGUGAAAUUCUUGGAUUUAUUGAAGACUAACUACUGCGAAAGCAUUUGCCAAGGAUGUUUUCAUUAAUCAAGAACGAAAGUUAGGGGAUCGAAGACGAUCAGAUACCGUCGUAG